rnacentral:rRNA from 1 species
UACGGAGGGUGCAAGCGUUACUCGGAAUCACUGGGCGUAAAGGACGCGUAGGCGGGUUAUCAAGUCAGGUGUGAAAUCCUACAGCUUAACCGUAGAACUGCACUUGAAACUGGUAACCUAGAGUAUGGGAGGGGCAGAUGGAAUUAGUGGUGUAGGGGUAAAAUCCGUAGAUAUCACUAGGAAUACCUAAAGCGAAGGCGAUCUGCUGGAACAUAACUGAACGCUAAGGCGUGAAAGCGUGGGGAGCAAACAGG